rnacentral:rRNA from 1 species
UACAGAGGGGGCAAGCGUUGUUCGGAAUUACUGGGCGUAAAGGGCGCGUAGGCGGCCUGUUAAGUCGAACGUGAAAUCCCCCGGGCUCAACCCGGGAACUGCGUCCGAUACUGGCAGGCUUGAAUCCGGGAGAGGGAUGCGGAAUUCCAGGUGUAGCGGUGAAAUGCGCAGAUAUCAGGAGGAACACCAAUGGCGAAGGCAGCUCGCUGGGACGGUACUGACACUGAGACGCGAAAGCGUGGGGAGCAAACAGG